rnacentral:tRNA from 1 species
GAAAUAUUAUUAAAAGCUUCUAACUUUUCCCAAAGCAUUAAAUGUUUAUAUUUCU